GUCCUGGUGACCCAGUGGUGGAUAAGGUGUCGGUUUCCGGAGCUGAAGAGCGUGGGUUCGAGUCCCUCCCAGGACG
rfam:Echinococcus multilocularis genomic scaffold, pathogen_EmW_scaffold_06